UUCCUACUUCCUCCGUCCGAAAUUACUUGUCGCUCAAAUGGAUGUAUCUUAGACGUAUUUUAGUGGUAGAUACAUCCGUUUGAGUGACAAGUAAUUCCGGACGGGGAGGGAGUAUAAU
rnacentral:pre_miRNA from 1 species